AUUGAACGCUGGCGGAAUGCUUUACACAUGCAAGUCGAACGGCAGCACGGGGGCAACCCUGGUGGCGAGUGGCGAACGGGUGAGUAAUACAUCGGAACGUGCCCGGUCGUGGGGGAUAACGUAGCGAAAGUUACGCUAAUACCGCAUACGAUCUGAGGAUGAAAGCGGGGGACCUUCGGGCCUCGCGCGAUCGGAGCGGCCGAUGUUCGAUUAGGUAGUUGGUGGGGUAAAGGCCUACCAAGCCGACGAUCUGUAGCUGGUCUGAGAGGACGACCAGCCACACUGGGACUUGGGCACGGGCCAGACUCCUACGGGAGGCCACAGUGGGGAAUUUUGGACAAUGGGCGCAAGCCUGAUCCAGCCAUUCCGCGUGCAGGACGAAGGCCUUCGGGUUGUAAACUGCUUUUGUAUGGAACGAAAAGGCUCUGGCUAAUACCUGGGGCUCAUGACGGUACCGUAAGAAUAAGCACCGGCUAACUACGUG
rnacentral:rRNA from 1 species